UUAAACUUUAUGAUGGUUUCUUGCAUGACCUUCUGUUUGAUCCCGAGCGUGAAGAAUUUCUCAGGAUAUCAUUGACUGGAUGCACAAGAAGUUAGGUUCUGACAAUCUUGCCAAUGUGUAUAGUCAGUGCUAUAUUUGCAAAUAGUUAGUGUUUAUGUCACUGUCCCAUUCUUAGUCCUCCAUGGAACUGCUGAUAGAGUCACUGAUCCGUUGGCUUCUCAAGAUCUGUACAAUGAGGCCGCUUCUGAAUUCAAGGACAUUAAACUUUAUGAUGGGUUCUUGCAUGACCUUCUGUUUGAGCCCGAGCGUGAAGAAAUUGCUCAGGAUAUCAUUGACUGGAUGCACAAGAAGUUAGGUGCUGGCAAUCUUGCAAAUGUGUAUAGUCAGUGCUAGCUUUGCAAAUAGUUAGUGUUUUGAUUGAUCAGGGGUUUCAAGGGCUGCUAUUAUAUGAUUUAUUUGAUCAGAUAUCCAGCUUAGUGGCAGCUUUUCCAAAAGGAAUCACAAAGAUGAUUACAUUAUCCAAAGCUUGUGUAAUAUAAUAUCUAGUAGUAAAACUUGGGUGACUCCCAAUGCUUUUUUUUUGCGG
rnacentral:lncRNA from 1 species